rnacentral:sRNA from 1 species
GUGUGCCACGCGUACACUGCGGUUCCAGCAUGCCGUCCACGCUCACGACAACCUGUUCGCCUUGUGGUUAACC